AACGCAUAUUGCACUCGAGCUACGGCGAGAGUAUGUCUGUCUCAGCGUCAGCACACCCCAUCGUCCUCCCCUAUCUCUCCACCGAGAGGGAAAGGAGGGCGGAAGUGGCCGUCUCCGUCUGUCAAAAGACCGGGUCGGCUGAAGCACAGGGCCCAGCGCGGCCGGGCGAUCCCUGGGAAACCGAAAGGGCGCCAGCUUGGUAGGUGGCUCACCGCAGCCGCAUGCCGCUGUCUCCCUUCCGGUCCACGGAACACACCCCGGAACAACAGCGUCGGCUAUAUACACACGAAAAAAAACAGACCUUUGACCUGAGGUCAGACAAGACCACCCGCUGAACUUAA
rnacentral:misc_RNA from 1 species